UGGGGAAUAUUGGACAAUGGGGGAAACCCUGAUCCAGCCAUGCCGCGUGAGUGAUGAAGGCCUUAGGGUUGUAAAGCUCUUUCACCGCCGAGGAUAAUGACGGUAGGCGGAGAAGAAGCCCCGGCUAACUUCGUGCCAGCAGCCGCGGUAAUACGAAGGGGGCUAGCGUUGUCCGGAAAUUACUGGGCGUAAAGCGUGCGUAGGCGGACUGCCAAGCCAGAGGUGAAAUCCCAGGGCUCAACCCUGGAACUGCCUUUGGAACUGGUAGUCUAGAGACUCGGAGGGGGUAGUGGAAUUCCUAAUGUAGGAGUGAAAUCCGUAGAUAUUAGGAGGAACACCGGUGGCGAAGG
rnacentral:rRNA from 1 species